rnacentral:lncRNA from 1 species
UAUAUAAUUUUAAUAAAUCAAUGCUAUAUGUACAUCUAAAAAUUAGUGUAAAUUUUACAGUUGUACUGUCAAAUUAUAAAUUAUUUUCACACUAAUCUAAUUAUCGUUCCACACUAUUUUAAUACUUAAAAUCCCAAAAAAAAUUAUCUAAAUUACUAUACUAAAAUUCUUAUUGGUUAGGACUUAGGAAUUGCCCUUAAAAAUAGGGAAAACUUCAAAAACCCCCCAUGUGGUUUCGUGCUUUCUCACUUUAAUAUCCUGUGGUUUAAAACGUAUCAAUUUGCCCCCCUGUGGUUUCAUUUUUAUCUUUUUGUUAUCAAUUUUAUUAUUAUUUUUUUCUUAAAUCAGUGACAAAGUUAAAAUUAAAAGAUACUAAAGUGAAUAUUCGAUAAAUAUAGAUGGUUAUCUGAAGUUUUUUGUAUAUAAUUUAAUGAAAUAUUAACGAAAAAGCUUUCGAAGAUAAAAAUGAAACCAUAGGGGAACAAAUUGAUACGUUUUAAACCACAGGGUACUAAAGUGAGAAUGCACGAAACCACAUGGGUUU